rnacentral:lncRNA from 15 species
CUGAGGGUCACAACAGUAAAAUGACUGAGGCUGAUGGAAUAGUGUACUCUGAUGUUAAGUUCACAAGAGCGAAGAGAAACACCAGUGGGACCGCUUCCUCAGAGGCUGAACCCACAUACUCUGAAGUCAGGAUCUUGAAGACUCAUCCAUCCACAGAGCUCCCUGGUUCCCAACAACACCCAGUGUCAAAUGGAGGGUCAAAGGUCACAGCAGAGAGAGUGGUCAUAGUAGUUCUCAGUGCUCUCCUGGCAGCUGCUGUCAUCGCUCUCAGCUUUACCUGUGAGUUUGUUCUUUUUAAAGUGAAAUUCAUCUGGAUUGAUUUGUAAAAUCUCAUCAUUGAAACAGA